rnacentral:lncRNA from 1 species
GGGGAGGGAGAAAAUGAUCGGUUGAGCCUAGGGGAUGGGCACAAUGUAGUGUGUGGAGUUGUUAGGAGUGAAAGGUGGAUCGGGUGGAGGGAGAAACUGCUCGUGGGGAGGGAGAAAUUGGUUGGGGAAUGAGAAAUGGGAAGCGAUAACAUCACGAGUUAGUACACGUGAGCAAGCAUGUUAUGGGGGCGACGAUUUAGGGAGCAGAUAUGCGUAUUGUAACAGACAUG